rnacentral:rRNA from 1 species
GACAGAGGUGCCAAGCGUUAGGCGGAAUCACUGGGCUUAAAGCGUGUGUAGGCGGAUCGUUAAGUACCUUGUGAAAUCCCACGGCUCAACCGUGGAACUGCUGGGUAUACUGGCGAUCUUGAGCCACCUAGGGGCAACUGGAACAAGCGGUGGAGCGGUGAAAUGCGUAGAUAUCGCUUGGAACGCCAACGGUGAAAACAGCUCGCUGGGGCCGCGCUGACGCUGAGACACGAAAGCCAGGGGAGCGAACGGG